CAUUAUCCUUAUCCCUUUCCCCGUCUCACCAUGGAGGUGGAGAAGAAGCACGGGAGCACAACAUCGCGACGCCUGGGUGGUCGAUGUGGAGGCGGUAGAUCGAACUAGAGCCCGACGAGAGGCCUGCCCGUGAACUGGAGCAGCGCCGCCGCCGUCUUUUCCUCCCAAUUUCUUGGAGGGGAGCUGGAGCGAUGCCGCCGCCGGCGUUGUCGAGCCGUCGAGGUACCUGCUCCUCUUGUGCGCCGUGAUUUUCCUUCUCAUCCAUGCUGGCCGCGAGGGUUUCUGCCCCGCCGCCAGGAAGCCGUGCGCGGAGUCUGCAUACUGAGGUGUUGCGGACGCCAAAGACGGAGGAAAAGGGCAAUGGAGACGUCGAUUUGUCGUUGGUUAGAGGUAAUGGCACAGUAGCGCCUCCAAAUCGAGGUAUGGUAAUUCCAGUUUAGAAGUAUGGUUUUGGGGAUCAUCCUGUUGGUUUGGGUGCUUAGGUAUUGGUUGCUGGCUGCCGGGCCAUAUUGCUUAUGCUGCAGUAAGGCUAGUUGAGAACUGGCGUGAUGCCAAAUUGCCAAUGUUCUGCUCAUGAACUUUUGAACUGCUGUAUAAAAAACGAGAGAGGGGGAAAGACACACUAUAUUUGGUGCUAAAUUUUUAAUCACACUGAACAUCAGGGUCAACCAUUAGUAGAUUUUAGACUAGGUUUGUGUCAACACGUGGGUUUCCGAUGGUUUAUGGAAGGCAUGAUCCAGUGAUAUACUGAUGGGUUAUCUCUAUACAUGCAGGCUGAAGCUAGAUCCAUGGAAGUAGUAGUUGUGGUAGAACAAAUCAUGUUCAGCUCUUGUUUCUGUGUGGAAAUCUUACAAUAUAUUUUCCAUAUAUUUUUGGCGAACUUUAUUGAUGAACAAAGCUACGGUUUAGCAUCCAGACUACUUACUAUAGUUGCUAGAAAUCUUACAAUAUAUUUUUCAUAUAUUUUUGGCAAACUUUAUUGAUGAACAGAGCUACGGUUUAGCAUCCAGACUACUUACUAUAGUUGCUCAUCUGCUCUUCGUUCGACUUGAGCCUGGUAGUUUCAUUACAACUGCAACUUGUCUGGUCAACUUGAUGUAUUUUUCCUUUUUAAUAAGACCCCACACUUUUUUGUGUUGUACUCCCUCCGUUCCUAAAUAUUUGUCUUUCUAGAGAUUUCAAAUGGUCACCACAUACGGAUGUAUAUAGACAUAUUUUAGAGUAUAGAUUCACUCAUUUUGCUCUGUAUGUAGUCACCAUUUAAAACCUCUAGAAAGACAACUAUUUAGGAACGAAGGGAGUACAUCAUAGCAACCAUGGCGGGGAUUAGCAAGAAUAAAAGAGCAGCAUCAUGCAUGAGCUCCUUAUCGAGGAUAGGGGCUGUCUUGUUUCCGGGGCGGCAAUUGGAGAACUAGAAGAGGAUCCAAACCCUGCUAGGACCAUGGGUCUGAAACAUGGACGGACAAAGUUAGUAGCUGCUCUUGGUUCACAUCGAGGAAAUCCAGGUGGGGAAGUUGCUCAAAGCAUAUAGUAUAGUUGCUCAAGGUAUAAUGUAUAGUUUCUCAAAGAUCAACUGACAUGUUCUUCUUUUUUAGAGUUGCUCAAAAGAGAGAAUAGUAAAUAGAUAUUUUUCACAAUAAUGCUAAUUCUGGUAGCCCAAAAUGAAAUACAUAAGCUUUAUGCGCCACACCGUACAUCCAGGACAAAUUAGCAAUCCUCUCCUCAUCAUCCAUGUUAACUUUUCUUGAACAGAAUAAAUGCUACCUUUAAAUAUAAGUUAGGAUCCUGCUGCCUCCCGAAAGUGGUCGAUUCCUCUUCCAGGUCGCCAUCUUUCAAACUCUAGAAGCCUGGUCCGAUGGCCCGUCUGAAAGCCCGACAGUCCUGCAUCAUCCUCCCUGUGAAAAUAGCAACACAAAAAAGGAGCCACUAGUGAUAGAGCAAUUUCGAAACAGAAUAGAGCAACUGCAUGUCAUAAGGCAUAAAGCACCACAAAAAUAAAACAUGGUGUGAUUUGGGAAGAACUACCAUGCAACAAAAGCAACAAUAACAAACACACAAAAA